AUUGAACGCUGGCGGCAGGCCUAACACAUGCAAGUCGAACGAGUGGCGGACGGGUGAGUAAUGUCUGGGAAACUGCCCGAUGGAGGGGGCUAACUACUGGAACCGGUAGCUAAUACCGCAUACCAUCGGAUGUGCCCAGAUGGGAUUAGCUAGUCGGUGGGGUAACGGCUCACAUAGGCGACGAUCCCUAGCUGGUCUGAGAGGCUGACCGGCCACACUGGAACUGAGACACGGUCCAGACUCCUACGGGAGGCAGCAGUGGGGAAUAUUGCACAAUGGGCGCAAGCCUGAUGCAGCCAUGCCGCGUGUGUGAAGAAGGCCUUCGGGUUGUAAAGUACUUUCGGCGGGGAGGCGGUACUCGAAGAGGAAGCACCGGCUAACUCCGUGCCAGCAGCCGCGGUAAUUC
rnacentral:rRNA from 1 species